CUACUUUGCCUACCACUAUAUUUUGCCCACCACUAUACUUUGCCAAUCCUCUAUUAAUCAUCAUCUCCACCAUCCUGCAAUUAUCGAAGAGCAGCCCCUGCCUGUUUCUGCCAAAGUUCCCAGGUCAUUCACUCUCUGCCGAAAGUUCCAAGAGCUUUGGCACGUUGAUUCACUAGCUCAACCACAAUAGCCAACUACACAUUUUAAGUGAGAGUAGGGAACUUAGCUUCUGAGAGGGAGGAGGACUGAACGGCUCCGAGGAGGAGGCGAGGCGACACCCUUCGCCGGAAAUCGCACAGCAGCAGCCGACCUGAACCAUGGUCGAGCAGGGGCUCGAGCGCACCA